GAUGAACGCUGGCGGUAUGCCUUAGGUAUGCAAGUCGAACGGUUUUGUAGCAAUACAAGACAGUGGCGGACGGGUGAGUAACACGUAAGAAUCUACCCCAAAGUAUGGAAUAACUCCUCGAAAGAGGGGCUAAUACCGUAUGUGAUGAUCUAAUCAUUAAAGGGCUUCACGGCCCGCUAUGGGAGGAGCUUGCGUCCUAUCAGCUUGUUGGUGAGGUAAUGGCUCACCAAGGCUCUGACGGGUAGCUGGUCUGAGAGGACGGACAGCCACAACUGCACUGAGACACGGGCAGUACACCUACGGGUGGCAGCAACCAGGAAUAUUGGGCAAUGGACGAAAGUCUGACCCAGCAAUACCGCGUGGAGGAUGACGGUUUUCGGAUCGUAAACUCCUUUUGCCAAGCCCUUCACAGCUUGGAGAAUAAGCCUUUACUAACUACGUGCCAGAAGUCUCGGUAAUACGUGGGAGGCAAGCGUUAUCCGGAUUGACUGGGCGUAAAGCGUGCGUAGGCGGCUUCCUAAGUCUUUUGUUUAAAGACCAAGGCUUAACCUUGGUUUGGCAGAGAUACUGGGUCGCUUGAAGAUUGCUCGGGAUGCUGGAACAGUUGGUGUAGCGGUGAAAUGCGUUGAUAUCAACUGGAACACCAAAGGCGAAGGCAGGCAUCUGGGGUUUUCUUGACGCUGAGGUACGAAAGCUAGGGUAGCGAAACAGAUUAGAGACCUGUGUAGUCCUAGCCGUAAACUAUGGACGCUAAAUUCCCCUUACAAAGGGUAUAAGCGUAAAUUUUAUGAGUAAAUUCUUGGCAAGUAUUGAUAGUUUGAAAAAACUGAUUUUUUUGUAGAGAAUUUACAGAUUGAUUUACUAAUCUUGUACAUUUUGUUGGGGGAGUUGUAAGCUAACGCGUUAAGCGUCCCGCCUGGGGAGUACGGCCGCAAGGCUAAAACUCAAAGGAAUUGACGGGGACCCGCACAACCAGUGGAGCGUGUGGUUUAAUUCGAGACGAAGCGAAAAACCUCACCAGGAUUUGACAUGUAACCGUUUUAGUCCCCUAGAAAUAGGGGAUGAUCCCCUCAAGACUACAAAUUUUGCAGUUUUGAGGGGGAUGGUUACACAGGUGCUGCAUGGUUGUCGUCAGCUCGUGCCGUGAGGUGUUCCCUUAAGUGGGGAAACGAGUGCAACCCUUGUCCUGUGUUAUAUUUUUCACAGGAGACUGCCUCGCUUUGCGAGGAGGAAGGAGAGGCGGACGUCAAAUCAGCAUGGCCCUUACAUCCUGGGCUACACACACCCUACAAUGGCGAAAAACAAUGAGUCGCAAGCUCGCGAGGGUAAGCUAAUCUCUGAAAUUUCGCCUCAGUUCAGAUUGGAGUCUGCAAUUCGACUCCAUGAAGGAGGAAUUGGUAGUAAUCGCAGAUCAGCAUGGCUGCGGUGAAUACGUUCUCGGGUC
rnacentral:rRNA from 1 species